UCUACGGAGAGUUUGAUCCUGGCUCAGGACGAACGCUGGCGGCGUGCUUAACACAUGCAAGUCGAGCGAGCCCCUUCCUUCGG
rnacentral:rRNA from 1 species